rnacentral:lncRNA from 1 species
GUGUUUCUGGUGGGUGGCGCAUGGUGCGGUCCUCCCAAGGUUGCCCCAGGAAAGAACAUCACGGCCACCUACGGCAGUGACUGGCUGGAAGCAAAGGCGACAUGGUACGGCAAGCCGACGGGCGCCGGCCCCGACGACAACGGCGGUGCGUGCGGGUACAAGGAUGUUAACAAGGCCCCCUUCAACAGCAUGGGCGCGUGCGGCAACCUCCCCAUCUUCAAGGACGGCCUCGGCUGCGGCUCAUGCUUUGAGAUCAAGUGCGACAAGCCGGCCGAGUGCUCCGGUGAGGCCGUGGUGGUGCACAUCACGGACAUGAACUACGAGCAAAUUGCCGCCUACCACUUCGACCUGGCCGGCACCGCAUUUGGCGCCAUGGCCAAGAAGGGCGAGGAGGAGAAGCUGCGCAAGGCGGGCAUCAUCGACAUGCAGUUCCGCCGGGUCAAGUGCAAGUAUGGCGAAAAGGUCACCUUCCACGUGGAGAAGGGGAGCAACCCCAACUACCUGGCACUGCUGGUCAAGUAUGUCGAUGGCGACGGCGACGUUGUGGGGGUGGACAUCAAGGAGAAGGGUGGCGAGGCGUACCAGCCCCUCAAGCACUCCUGGGGCGCUAUUUGGAGGAAGGACAGCGACAAGCCCAUCAAGUUUCCCGUCACUAUCCAAAUCACCACUGAGGGAGGCACCAAGACCGCCUACGAAGAUGUCAUCCCUGAAGGUUGGAAGGCCGACACCACCUACACUGCCAAAUAAGCUGUCCAACAGACCUACCGCUGCUCUUGGAUGGGUUGGAUUGGAUCCCAACUUCCCAAGCAAUGCAUUACGCUUAUGCAUGCAUUGAUCUAUCUAUUUUUUACUGUUGUUGCUGCGACGAUGACGACGCCCUCCUUCAUCCUCUCCAUACGUAGCUAGAGCAAGGUUUCCUUCAUCCUCUCCAUAUAUAGCUAGGACAAGGCUCCAUCCGCUCUGUUAUUAUAUUAAAAAAAGAGAAGGACGAAGAAACAAAGAGACCAGAUACAUAAUAUGUAUCUAACGAGAGAUUUGAGAGGCUUUUGUAUGUAAUAAAAGGAGAGCGAGACAAAUAACAAUUGUCCAUGGAUCUCCUAUGUAAUCUCAAUUUUAUCAUGCCUGCAUUUUAAGUGAAUACACUUUUUUUCAAGACUAAUUGAAAUUUAUGAUAUGCACAUUUGAUUCUAGAUGUAUUCUUUGGUUUGGUCAUGCUUAACCGUGGUCAUUCUUUGAAGGUAUUAAGGUACGACAUUUAUUCAUGUGGCAAAACAUAAGCUUUCUAGUACUCUUUAAUAAAAUGUACUUUGCAUUACUGUGACAACUUCGCUACUUCCAUUAAUUAUGCAAUUUCCAACAUUGAGAUAGCAUCGUGUAUGCAUCUAUAGACCACUAGCUUGGUAAUAAGUGUGGUAAGUGCUUUGAUGAUUUAUGCCAGCUAUAUUAUUGGAAAGGCGCAACAUGAGGGAUAUUUUGGCUUUCUAAGUAUGAUUGGUCUAACGAGGUGAUACAAAUUUAUACUAUAGCUAGUGUGGUUUGUUCAUGCAACAGAUACAUGUCAUCGUUUUGUUCAGUUAGGAAACCACAUAUAGAACUAGUUACCUCAAAGAAACCAUAAGAAUGGUUGGAACAUAAAAUGGACUUAGGAGGAUUGAAUUGGAUCAGAGGAGGACGACCACCCACAUUGUCCUUGGAUUUUUUAUAUAAUCCAACCCCAACUUUAUCAUGGCUACCUUUUUAAGAGAACACUUUUUCUAUGACUAAUGUAAUGACUGAGUGUGCAUUGUAUUCAUAACCAUGAUCACUAAGAGAUUUGCAACAUAAAACUUCUAAUUUAUAAGAAAAACUAUGUGUUAUAUAUUGUUGCACCGUCAAAUCUGUGCACUAGUGAACGACUGGGCAAAUGCUUUGUUUGUUGGUCAGAGUAGUGCUCCAAUGGAUGGUCUAGUAGUGACACCACCAGACAAUUCCUUAGAACACAGUGGCGACUAAGACAUAAGGUGUCUCCUCUACACGCAUGGGCGGAGACUCGUAGAGGCGAUACUGGGCACCUGCCACCCCUUAGUCUAAAAGAACACUAGUACAUGUUUGAGUCUCCGAGCAUCCGUGACUUAUUUUGUACUAUGAUUGGCCAUUGGUAAUCCUAUGUAUCCAUCCAUCUUGUCUCCUUUCUCUCCUAUCAGAUCAAUCAUCUACUCAAAGCAUGCAACUUUACCCUAUCAGUACCUUGGAUAGCAUGCUCUACUAGCUUUUUUAACCGUACUUCUAUGCCAUGUGGAUGUGUGUCGUCCUUGCCUAGUUCCAAUAAAGAACAACAAAAACUUUGUGUAUGCCUGUAAUUUGGAGCUAAUCCUUUUGGUCACACUCAAGUAAUCUACUGUAGUUGCCCCCCCUUGAUUAUACCUCACGCUCCGCCGCUGUCUACACGCUUCAAGGACCAUGUGUCAGCACAAGUAGCAUCAGCAUCCCGGUCUCGCUCCCUCUCUAACACAUUUAUCUUUACACCCCUUGUCUCUCUCUCUCAAUCUAGCAAGAAAGGAGAAGAACCCUAAGCCCCUCCUCGUUACUAGAUUGGAGCUAGGACACUAUUACAAAAUCCAUUAUCAUCACCACACCCUUAAUUAUCACCGUCGUUUUUUUCUAGUACCGACGACGAAAAUAUUUCACUGCAGAUUUUCAGUCCAAAAGGGCUGCACAUAACUUGGGAUUGGACUGAUGCCAAAAAAAUAUUUUCACCACUGGAUCAUAUUCAUUGUUUUAUUACAGGUGGAGAAAACUGUUUUUACCACUGAAUUGGUUGAUCUAGCUGACAUUGAAGAAAUAGCUAGCUAAUGCAAAAUUAGAUUAUGAGCCCCACCCUGUGUGGCCAGGGGCUUUUGGGACGGCGUAGGAAAUGUAGGAAGGAUGGAUUGGUGUCACUUAAGGGGCUUUUUGUGCAAAAAGACCCUUAUAUUAUUGUUAAGAAAGAGAAGAGAGAAGAAACAAAGAGACAAUAAUACACUAGGCAAGAAUGAAAAAAUAAAAUGCUCAAGUGAUAGAGUAGUAUACUGAUCGUGGCAAGAGACAAUAAUACACAAGAAUACCAAGUGGAGACACAAAUAUUUUUCUCCCAAAAUUUUUGUGCUUGUCGGCAUGCUAGUACCCAUUAUGUUGACCGUUCACUUCAUGAUUCGUGACAUAAUAAGCGUAACAAGCCUAACCCUACACAAGGCCGCCACAAGAACCUACACAAAUAAGGGUAGUCAAUGACAUGAGCAAUCCACUGUAGUGCAUUUUGUUUCCCAUGCGGGGAAAGGUCAAGAAACAACACAAUGAUCACCAGGAGUGGCCAUAAACAAUCAUCAACUUAUGCCAACCUCGUCAAGCUGCUCCAAGCCAUAGCUAGAAUGAUCCCCAAGUGCCACUAAAUGCAAUCGCUUAAGCAAACACACUUUGGAUCGGUCCCAACUCACAUGGAUGAUGAAUCAAUCAAAGGCAUGAGUGAGAGAGGUUUGGCUUAGCUCACAAGGAUGCAACAAUGAUCAAAAUGCCCAAGAGAGUGAGCUAGAGUGGGUCAACAUCUAUUUAUAGAGGCCCCAUGCCUCGAAUAGCCAUUAUGCCCACAAAGGGGUGACUAGACCUGUGUCUAGACCUGUUAAUCCCAAAUUUUUGUGAGACAGGAUUUACUUGUGGGUCCACCGUACCCAUGGAGAGAAGGAACGGUUGGACAAUGGAUCGACUAAAUUGAAGACUGGAUGAAAAUUUUCGAUCGGAACAUGUCGAGUCAAGACGGAUGCAAGGGAAGACGUGUCAGGUUCCAUUACAAGAAGGAUUAAAGUCCGAGUUACCUUUCUGAGUGUUCGUGUAAUAGUAGGACACAUGAUUAGGUUUCCUGGUUAUAAAUAUCAGAGAUCCGAUCCUUGUAAAAAUAUACACAAUCAAAUACAAAACCUUUUCGGCUCCGGCCGUCAACCUUAGGAGUAGGAGUAAGAGUAGAUCUCGAUAAGACCUUCGACGAAUCGAGCUGCAUCGGUUGAUUUCGACUUUCGAUUUGCUUGUAAGUAUUGUCAUGGUUCUAUUUAAGUCUAUCACGGCUGCAUCAUUCAAACUCGUGUUAAGCUUGAAUUGGACUAGUUAUCGGUUUAGAUCAUAUUUGUAAGGCUGCAUUUAUUUAAUCUCUUACAAAGAAUCGAUUUAAGCUAAUUAUUGACUCUAUUAAAUUAGCAAUUUAAUAGAUUCUAUAAGUUAUCAAUAUUAUUUGAAGUUUAAUAUUUUAUUUAUUAUAACAAUAUUCCACCCAAUUAAUAUCCGACAGAUUAGUUCAAGCUUCAAACAUAUAUACUUGAAACGAAUUCUAAUGUACAACGAUUAUCAAACAACUAUCCAAGUUAACUAAUCUGUUAAUCUUAAUUGUUACAUAUUGUGCGUUCGAGAUAUUUAUUCAAUCAUGAUUAAUCUGGUAACUAAAACAAAAUUUAAUUAUGACCAAGUAGAUCUUGUUCGUGCUUCAUGGAUUUUGUAUCGGCUAAAUAGCCGAUCCGGUUAAGCUUCAAUGAAGAGUGCACGUGUGUAAAUUCAGUUAUGAAGUUAAAUAGACUAGUAAUUUAUGUUGAAUUUAUUGAAGCCCGCUGGUCUUUAGACCAGGUAAAUAUAAAUUUACUAUGAAAGUAACUUAUUAAAACUGCAGGCCUUUAGACCAUCUUAAAUGAGUUAUUGUCUAUCUAAUGAAUAAAAGGAUAAACAUACGUAAACUAUCUCUCAUGUAUGAAUAACGUAUCGACUAAAUAGUCGAUCUAGUUGUUUUCGCUCGUAACCCAAUUGCUCGAUUAUAUUCAAAAGUGACUCAACAAUUAAAUAACAAAUGUCAUAAUGCAUUAUCAUUACCUUAUUGUUAGGAGUUGACUUUUUAGUCAAUUUCCUUUGGUUAAUGGCUACCUUGGGCCAUAUAUUGUGGAACUGUCUGACAAUAACCGACAUGUUUCAUAAUUUGUCAUUUUUCUUCCUUUUCAAUUUUAGGUCACAUUGACUGGCAUGCCACGGAUUUAAGUCACCAAGCUAAGCUCGUGUGUUGAGGCUUAGGAGGUCCAGAACUCUAGCUUCUACACGCCCUCUAAAAGCCGCCAAGUGUGUUGUACAAGAAGCAUUUUUUUUUGCACCAACAGGACCAUCGACCCCGAGUCUGGCCCACCCUAGGAGCAAAUCAGCAUGUGUUCAAAUACAGCCGUUAUGCGCGCUCAAUGGUCACUAACUUGGUCUAGACCGGACGCGCACCACAACGACCAGACUCCCUCAUAGCGGAGUCCAAUCAACUCCAGUAAGCAUCCAGAGCACUCAAAUGAGACUGAGUCCAGUCUGACUAAUUAGACCCACGAAUAGUAGGUUCCAGUCCGUAACUAGAGCAUUAUGUUAUCCCCCAAAUAAUUCUUUGGACCCUGACUAUGUUCAGGUUCUCAAUCGGAUCGAGUCUAGUCACUCUACUACUACUCACAUGCGUGCCCUCACCUCAACCGAACUCGCACAUAUUGGUCUAAAUGCCUGAUCUGGUAGGGUCCGGUCCGAGUGCUAAAGCCCACAGGCUAGGGUAUGGUGCCGGACUAGACUCACCCAGGGUCCAGACCCCCUAAGCCUUGAGAGUCCGAUUCAAGAAUCUUCUCCAAAUCAACUCCAAGUUCUUCACCCUUGUGCAUUUGUGCCAACUCUAAGUAUCUCAACACACGUGUACGCGAGUUAGCAACAUUUUCAAAGUAUUUUUAAGGGUGCUAAGUUAGCACACUAGCUAGGUCUAAUGCAUAUGCAUGAUCAACAACACCUAGUGGCACUUGAUAAUCGUUGUAACCAUGAUUUUCCGCUCUUCAUAAUACGACUAUCUAUCCUAAAUUCAAUCACACCCUCUAUGGUGUGUUAUGAUUGGUGAAAAAAAAUCUUAUUUAUGCCUUUUCCUUGGUCUCCAUAGAUUUCUAUUUUUCUCUUUCUUCUUUUCUAAGUCGGAGCACUUGAUCUUCAAAUUUGUCCAUCUCCAUCACCAUGGACACCAUCAUCUAGCUCCAUCACUUAGGGUGUACCAACCUAUCUUACAUAAGACUUAUGACAAAGGUUAGUACACUUAGAUUUCAUCAAUUAUCCAAAACCAAACUAGGGCUUUCAAAGGCCUUUUUUUGUAUAAUAAAAGGAUCCAAGGUGCGAUACAAAGGAGCCCUUGUUGUGUUGUCACACCCUAGGCAUGACUAUUUCCAAAGUAAGCAAGUGGUGUCUAGUUAAAAUAGGAAACAACCAACAACCCUGCUAAAGCUCACACUAUAGUGUUCCUCCUUAGGUGUUAGAGGGAUGCUCCAUGAUAGGCGCCACUCGGAACAUUCAAGGUGUCCCUCUGGUGUGCUGAUCUCUUUGGUGAUAUCUUGGCCAGCUUCCCUUAUGUAGUGUACCAAAGGGCCUUGGUUCGACUGAGACCUUCCAUAAAAUGACCUAAGCGAGCGGUUCUAGGCCCAUGUCCACUAAGCCACAUUCGUUUGGCCAAAUCCCCCUAAAUGAUAUAGGGAGUCAAGUGGACCAUCCAUCGCCUGGGGUAAGAGAACUCUGAGGGCUUCUAGGUAUCCAGUGGGGGCAUGCAAGCACACCUGCUGGGUGUGGCCCCCUGAGUCCCUAACUGAUUAGUAGAAUUAGUUAGGAACUUAACUUCAUCUUAAAUAGCAAACUAUGAUCUUAUAAGGCUUGAAAUCCUUGUGAUGCUUUUCGUACCACUGAUAGUCUAUUUUAUGUUCAAUGUAGUGGCAGUUGAUUUCAAAGACAAACUAAGUGGUAAUUAUUAGGAUUUGCCCAAUCACUUACCCAAGAAGGAACGAAGGAUGACUCUGUCUAGGUUUAUGAGCAAACCAACAAAGAUUAACUAUCACACUUACAUGACGAUAAAAUAAAUGACUAGUUGACAAAGAAACUAGCUAAAACCACAACAAGCAAGCUAGCUACAUUGGGCCUCAUACAACACCAAGCUCUUGCACAUGGGCAAAGUUAUGUCAGAACUAUGGAUAAUAACACAAUGCCAUAUAUAUGUUGCCCCCUCAUUUCUAAGAGUCCUAGGUGUAUUUGUACUUGCACUAGGAUCAUGCACAAGUACGCACAAAAACAAGAAAUUUAGUACAUAGCUAAAAAGAAAGGUUCCGAGCUUUAUUGAUAUCUCUUAGAACUGUAGCCCGGAGGGUGAAGUUGUAGGCUUACAGAGCUAGCGGGAAACUACUGCCAUAGGGUGGCACUUGUUCACGGUGGUCUCUAGUACAAUGGGAUUAUACAACAUAUCAAUAACGUAUUCCAUAGGCAAGCUCGAGCAUGACCAAAACCCUAGCUCCGAUGUCAUCUCUUGCAUUAAGACUCUUCAUGUAACUCCUAAUCUUCAUGGUGCACUUCCUCAUCAUGGCCUUGGUCUUCCUUAUCACCAAAGUCUAUGGUGAACAAUAGGUGAAUACUUAUGUACUUAUGUACUCAGCAAGCCCUAACCAUAGGGUGGAAAUAGAGGUGUGGUGGUGAUUAUAAUUAAGGGUUGGGUCCUAGUGGAGCAUUACCAUCCUAGCUAAUCCCCAAGUUAGUGUUAUCUCAUGUUAGUUACCAGUUUCAUUACAUAAAAAGUAAAUCUAAUAAUAGUAUCCCAUCUCAGCAUCUUCUCAUUCCUAGGAUAUGCCUAUUCGAAUAGAUUUGAGUAGCUUUGCAGAGGUGUACAAAUUUCCCCCACAUGAUAGGCACAAUCCCUUCCAUGAUCAGUGGAUGAAGUAGGGCUAACAAGAUCCCAUGUCCGCUUGGGUGCUACCAUAGACUUUCAUAUAACUCUAUCAUGACUUCUUAGGGGUCAAAAAACGUACAAAAACUUAGGAUGAUACCUUAUCAUCCCAUCAAAUCAGUGUCGCUGAUACCAAAUCAUCAAAAUAGUCAAUAAUAGUCAAGGGCUCGAACAUGGCCAAAUAUCAAGGGGCUUAACAUGGAAGAUCACCUAGCAUCCACACCAAUCGGACCAUGGAAGAUCACAUAGCAUCCAUGUCUGCUCCUGAUAUUAUGUUGCCUACACCGACCUCCUAGUAGAAAUUAUACUUUCACCCAACAUGGUGAGAUCAAGUCUACCCAUGUAGACAUGUGGCUAUACGUAACAUCACACUAGGCGAGAGGGACUAUGAACUAGUCCUUAUGUGACCAAAGUGAGCAUCAGUGGGUGCUCGAGGUGAUGGUGGUGGCUCGCCAGAGCUUCCAUUGUGGCAUCGUGUGGUGGUUAUAGCCCUAAUGACCUUAUCUAACUCAACUAACUACGUGUACAUGGGUGCGGGAUUGUGGUGAGUGCAGUGGUGGUCGUGUAGUGCCCAAUCGAGCCUCUUGGUAAAUGGUGGUUGUUAGCCAUGGUGACUCGGUGGGCACAGUGCUUGGUGGCAGCAUGACACAAGAGGUCUAAUCAACUAACUAGCUAAUGGUGCAACAAAUGGGGAAGGAGAGGGAGGCGACUUCAAUGGCGUCGAUGGCACCUGAUUUAGGGGAACCAAUGUUGACCAAGGAGGAGAAGAGGAAAGGGGAAGAGGAGAGCGAGAUGGAGUGUUCUAGCUCAUGACAGAGCUAGUGGUGGAGAGCAUGAGGUCAGAGCGGCCUGUUUAUGGGCCGGCCAUGUUGGUUCCACUGGCAAGAUAUUUUCUCACUCGUUGAGCUCACUUAGAAAAAAACACACGUGCCCGAUGCCUUAGGUCAGCUUGCCAUAGUGUAUCCAUGGCAUCUAGUGGCUCGAGGGCUCUUGGGCCUAUGUGUCAGCCCCAGCCUCCUUUGCCACCAAGUCUCUAGAAAGCACACCUGGGGGGCCCGGUUCAAGCCGACAUAGCCUAACACUCGGCGUAUCAGAACAGAGCAACUAGAUGAUGUCUAGGGCUUCUUUGGCUCCACGACACCAACACGAUCCUUAAAGUACCACUACAAGACCCUCAUGGACUCUAGCACCCGUAGAACAUGGGCUCAACUCCUAAAACCACCAUGUAUCCGACCUAUCUCGAUAUAAAAGGGAUAGGUCAGGUCCUAUAGUGGAUAGGACAAUCUGAGAUAGACAUUACGUUCCUCAUCGAUCUCCUCCUACUCAGCAUCAAGAGUAGAGCAACCCAGAGAGGGGUAGCGAGAGCUCCUCCACCGCACCCAUUAUCUUCCUCUUCUUUGACGAGGGAAAGACUACAUCGGCGACGAGGUGAACUUAGGAUAGCACCGAGCUAACCCCCUAACAAAUCUCUCUCUUUCUCCUGCACUCUAUUGUAACUCCCCAAUUUUGGGUGCUCUUGAGUAUAAGGAUCAUCAGCUACUUGAUGUAGGACGUUGAUGGGCUUGAACCAGGAUAAACUGUUGCGUUUCCUCUGUGAUUAUUGUGUUCUUGAGUCCACCCGAGCCACCGAAGACAUGUACUCUGACACCAAUUUGAACAACAAUGCUUGCCGCAGUUCUGACCCCACGACACUAGGUUUAUGAGCAAACCAACAAAGAUUAAAUGGCACACUUACUUGACUACAAAUAAAUGACUAGUUUAAAACAAACUAGCUAAAACCAACAAGCAGCUAGCUACAUUGGGCCUCAUACAACACCAUGCUCCAGCGCAAGGGCAAAAUUGUGUCAUAACCACAGAUAACAAGACCAUGCCCUAACACAAGGGCAAAAUUGAAGGGGAAAACACAAAUUGAGCACAUUGCUAUAUAUAUGAUUUCUAUCAUUUUAGGGCUUUGCCUUGUUUGCUUUUAAAAAAUACAAGGUUGUUAUUAUGUGGUUAUGCGAUGCUUUAUCAAUUCACGUAGGGACCGAAAGGAGUCUGAUGAAACAUUGAUGUUAAGCGCUAGUCGUUAAAAUAUCUUAUCACUCAUUUAUCCUCAAGCUUUUUUUGAGAAUUACAUAGUACAACGUAGACACUUACAACACACGCACACUAAUUUCUAUGAAUACACGUACACAAACCCUCUAUGAGUAUCUCCGAACAACUGAGCCGGUAGAUCACAAGAUUUAUGAAGUUACCACACGCGCCUCACUGAGGAAAAUGUGAGCACCUAUGCCAAGUUGAGGACUUGAAUCCGGGUGGGUAGAUUCUAUCACAAGGAACUCAACUAGCUGAUCUAUAGUCAGUUUGCUAUCCUCAAGCUGAAUUGAGGGAGGAGACUCCAAUGAUCACCUUUGAAGUCCAUAAAAAGGUUGAAGUUUAUGAAAUAUAUCUAUCUAUUGCCUAACAAACACAUAGAAGUUAUAACUAAUUUAUUUUUGAAUUUAUACUUUCAAAAAUACAUCGCAUGACUGAUUGGCUAUGCACGUGGCUCCAAAGUCCAAACCCCUACUAUAUCAUACCUUCCGUCCAGGCGCUCAUUCAGAUUUGAUUUUUUUUUCUAGAUUUGAAUUAAACCUUCCGUCCAAAACCUAGGCCUUGUUUACAUUCAAAAUCUUUUUGGAUUUGGAUACUAUAGCACAUUCAUUUAUAUUUGGCAAUUAUUGUCCAAUCACGAACUAAAUAGGCUCAAAAGAUUCAUCUCAUAAAUUACAGGCAAGCUGUGUAAUUAAUUAUUUUUUUUUAUCUAUACUUAAUGCUUUAUGUAUGUGCCACAAGAUUUAAUGUGAGAGGGAAUCUUGAAAAAUUUUUGGAUUUUGAGUGGAACUAAACAAAGCCCUAGGGUAAAAACAAGAAUCUCAAAUUAAUCUGGCUUUGGGCUAAAUAUUUUCAAACUAGUACUAGAAAUCUCUUAUGUUUUUAAUAGUAGUCAACAUUAUGACAUAUAGCCCUGAACUUUUUAAAAUGUGCUCUCAAAAUGGGGGAUGGAAGAUGAAGUUGAAAUAGUAGCAUCUCCUAACUCCCACUUACUCAUGUGGACCCUUCGUAGCAUUUUGUGACCAUAUGUUUUAAGGAGUUGUACAUGUAGAGUUGUUCUGACACUAAAACAGUUUUAGCUCUACGAGUAGAGCUGCUCGUGGAGCCAAAGUAAAAUAAUAAUAAUUUCAUUGGUGAAGUGAGGUGGAGCUCUGCCAAAGGGAUGUAACCUCCUCAUCUCAAAAAAAAUGGAAGUAGCCUCCUCUCUUUCUUGGUUGGUCAAUAGAUGUCCAUGAGUCGGCCUGGUUUGGCCAGGCACAGGCCCAGGCUAGGCAUGGCUUCAUGUGGGUCGGGCCGACAUGGCACGUCGUGCCUCCUAGGCCAUGCCUCAUCAGCCGGCCUCAUGUUUGCCAGCGGCCUAGGCACAACCUAUUGGGCCGAUUUUUGAGCUGGGCUGGCCCAGAAAGCACAACCUGCAGAGUAGGGGGGCUAGCCAGAGGCCCACAUUGCAAUGAAGCCAUGGGGGAGCGUUGUCACCAGCUGUGCAGAGGAGCCAAGGGUCAUGUGAGGCCAUGUGAGGGAGUUAGGGAAGAGGAGGCGACGCGAGUCCAUUUGGAGAUGGCUGCUGCAUCUGAUCUGCAUGACGUGGAGGUCAGCAGGGUAAGAGAGAUCUGAGAUAGGCCACUGGAGAGGAGAGGAGAGGAGCGCGAGAUGGGGCAAGCUAGCAUCACAGGCAGCUGAGUGAAGGAAGAAGAGGAGGGCGAGCAAGUGCGGGCGGGCAGCGGAAGAGUCAGUAAGGGCGGUGGCUUCGGCCUUCCCCGUGUGGAGUAGUGAUGGAAAAAAAGAAGUUAGUCGAUGGGGCAGCAGAUCAAGAGUAGCUGUGGGUGGAUGAAUAUGUUGGAUGUUGGCCCAGGCAGGCUAGGCUAGCUCGGGUCACUCAGCACCAGGGCCAUGCCGUGCUCGUGCUGGGCCAAAAUGGCAGGCUUCCUGCCGGACUGCGGGGUGCAUGGCCAAGUAUAAUAUAUAUGUGCAUGCAUGGUAUUCAUUCAUCUCUCUCCACUUCCUUACAUUCAUCUAACGCUGCAGCUGUAAUGUAAUGACAACAACAACGACAAUACAAUGAAGAUAAGAGAGAUCGAGGGAGCAGAGGGACUGAAGAAGACAGGAUUAGGAGUACCUCGGAUCGCGGCAAGACGAACAGCUGCAGGGACGCCAGUGGUCAUCGAUCUCCCUUAUUAGCUUGUUAUAUUACGGUAUGCAAUGCAUGGAAUAGCUAGCAAAACUCGCUCGGCCGUGAAUGACCUCUAUCUCCCCGGUGUGCUUGCAUGCACGCGUGUCCAUAAUAUAAAUAGGAGCCCCGGCCGCCUGCUAGCUCAUUCAUAUUCAUCGCAUCGUAGUUACAUUACAUACCAUCCACCAAACGAUCAAAGGAAGAUGGGAGCGAACAUGAUGUCGUGGUCGAUGCAGGUGGCGUUGGUGGUGGCGCUGGCGUUUCUGGUGGGCGGCGCAUGGUGCGGUCCUCCCAAGGUUGCCCCGGGCAAGAACAUCACGGCCACCUACGGCAGCGACUGGCUGGAAGCGAAGGCAACAUGGUACGGUAAGCCAACAGGCGCCGGCCCCGACGACAACGGCGGCGCAUGUGGUUACAAGGAUGUGAACAAGGCCCCCUUCAACAGCAUGGGCGCGUGCGGCAACCUCCCCAUCUUCAAGGACGGCCUCGGCUGCGGCUCCUGCUUUGAGAUCAAGUGUGACAAGCCGGCCGAGUGCUCCGGCGAGGCCGUGGUGGUGCACAUCACGGACAUGAACUACGAGCAAAUCGCCGCCUACCACUUCGACCUGGCCGGCACGGCGUUCGGCGCCAUGGCCAAGAAGGGCGAGGAGGAGAAGCUGCGCAAGGCGGGCAUCAUCGACAUGAAGUUCCGCCGGGUCAAGUGCAAGUACGGCGAAAAGGUCACCUUCCACGUGGAGAAGGGGAGCAACCCCAACUACCUGGCGCUGUUGGUCAAGUACGUCGACGGCGACGGUGACGUUGUGGGGGUGGACAUCAAGGAGAAGGGUGGCGACGCGUACCAGCCCCUCAAGCACUCCUGGGGCGCUAUCUGGAGGAAGGACAGCGACAAGCCAAUCAAGUUUCCCGUCACCGUCCAAAUCACCACCGAAGGAGGCACCAAGACCGCCUAUGAAGACGUCAUCCCCGAAGGCUGGAAGGCCGACACCACCUACACCGCCAAAUAAACUGUCCAACAGACCUAACGCUGCUCUGGGCUCGGUUGGAUUGGAUCCCAACUUCCCAAGCAAUGCAUUACACUUACGCAUGCAUGGAUCCAUGCACAAUAUCUAUUUUUUUACUGCUGCUACUGCUACGACAAUGUCCUCCUUUGUCCUCUCCAUAUAUAGCUAGAGUCAGGCUCUGCUCUCUUAUAUUAUUAUUAUAUAAGAUAAGAAAUAGGAGAGAGAGAGGAGAGAGACCGAGUACAUAAUAAGUGUCUAAUUAAAGAGAGAUUUGAGAGGCCUUUAUUUUAUAUAUAAUAAAGAAUCCAAGGAGUGAGGCAAACAGCAACAAAAAUGCGUUGUACUGUCCAUGGAUUUCCAUGUAAUCUCAAUUAUACCAUGUCUACAUUUUAAUAGAAUACACACUUUUUAAUGAUUAAUUGAAAUUUAUGAUAAGCAUUCUAGAUGUAUUCUUUGCUUUGCCAGCCUUAGCCGCGGCCAUUCUUCGAAGGUAAGGUACAAUAAUUUCAUUCAUGCUACAAAAUAUAAGCUUUCUACUCUUUAAUAAGAUGAACUUUCCAUUAUUACGACACCUUCACUGCUUGCAUUAAUUAUGCAAUUUCCAACAUUAAGAUGGCGUCAUGUAUGCAUCUAGACCACUAGGUAAUAAGCGUGGUAAUUGUUUCGAUGAUUUAUAUCAACUAUAUUAUUAGAAAGGCACAACAUGAGGGAUAUUAUAGCUUUCAAACAUGAUUGAUCUAACGAGUCGAUUGCACAAGCCGACGGGCGCCGGCCCCGACGACAACGGUGGUGCGUGCGGGUACAAGGAUGUGAACAAGGCCCCCUUCAACAGCAAGGGUGCGUGCGGCAACCUCCCCAUCUUCAAGGAUGGCCUCGGCUGCGGCUCCUGC